GUAGGAAAUUUGAGAGGAGCUGUCCUUAGUACGAGAGGACCGGGAUGGACAUACCUCUGGUGUACCAGUUGUCGUGCCAACGGCAUAGCUGGGUAGCUAUGUGUGGACGGGAUAAGUGCUGAAAGCAUCUAAGCAUGAAGCCCCCCUCAAGAUGAGAUUUCCCAACUUCGGUUAUAAGAUCCCUCAAAGAUGAUGAGGUUAAUAGGUUCGAGGUGGAAGCAUGGUGACAUGUGGAGCUGACGAAUACUAAUCGAUCGAAGACUUAAUCAA
rnacentral:rRNA from 1 species